CAUUUAGCCCAAGCUGUCCCCCACUAGAGUGGAAAGGCACACAGCCACAGUGAGGUCUACGCCAUCGAACCUGUUGGUUCCCACUCUGUUCUGGUAGGGAUCCCGGGAUCUGA